rnacentral:misc_RNA from 1 species
UGGGUAGAAAUGGGUAGAGUAGUAAGUCGAUGUGCCAACGACCCGCAAUGAAAACAAACAGACAGACUAGGAAUGGGACGUAUUAAACGCGUUUAUGUUUACGGAGCAAGACUAUUCGAGCAGGUAACACUGUGUACUAUCAAGGUGUCCAAGGGUGGGGCAUGGUUAUCUGGAGAAAAUUUUUUUCAACGAAAGUUUUUUUCUAGCGUUUAAAAUAAAAAAAAAAAAAAAAGACUAGGUAAUUGCCUAGAAAUUCCUCGCCGCGUUCCGUAUUCCAUUUUUUACGCCAUAUUUUUUUUUCACGUUUUCCGAUAAUCAUCCGACUGAACCGACUGUUUAUACUUAAUUAUUCCAUUACUGUUGGCUGUUAAUGUUACUGUUAUUCCGUACGAUUCAAUGAUCAUCGUCGUCGUCUACCCAAACAGAAAUCGUACAUUACUUUAUACUUAAAAUCUGGACCGCCCAGGUGCAGAAUCCAAUCAGUGCAAGUAAACAACAAUCGUGAUCUGUGGUAUAGUCCGAUGUAACGUUUUAAUGUCAUAUUUUUUUUUAUCUUAUCUCGUGAAUUGUUUUCCAACUCUCAUCAUUACAAGUGCUAUAAAGCAAUGGUUUUAACUUGAUCGUUUUUUUUCAGUAUUUUUUUAUUAAUAGUACUUAUUUUAAAUUUAACUCGGUUAACCUACCUACUGUUAAACUUUCGAGCAUACCCAAUAUAUAAUUUUGGGCUUAAAAACUGUAACCGAGAAGAAAUCAUGGUCAUUAUCAAUGAUCUCGAUUACCAGCCAUUCCAAUCGUUAGUCAAUGUUGACAGUAUUCCAUUCGUUAUCCCGGAAUGCACAAUUACAAAGAAGCAGCCAAACAAGACAUUUAGUGAAAUCCAACAUCUCAUUACUAAUGGACGCCACAAGGAGGUUAAAAAACUAUUACGUAGCCACCAUUGGCCUGCCGAUAACAUGAUUCGCUCUCAACUAUGGUCGGCACUGUGUAAACAGCACAACAACAAUAAUAUGACUGAAGGUUUCUACUGGGAUCUUGUCAUCCAAUUAUUUGGUACAAAAGAAUUACCAGAUAAAACUAGUAUAUUGCCACCUUUUGUUGAUUCCAAACAUAGACAUAUUUAUCAUUUAACUGCUGUCGGUAAAGAAGUUGCGGACCGAGUAGUAUGUGUACUUGGGUUUGCAUGUCCUGAUAUUACUUAUAGUCCAGCAAUUUAUUCUUUAGUCUCAUUAUUUUUACAUUUCAUGCCUGAAGAAGAAUGUUAUAAUAGUUUAACUAGUCUUGUGUCUUCAAAAAGAUUAGUUUUUAUGACUCAAACAAAAUCAUUAUAUGAAGUCACUUGGAGAACCGUAAUGCGAGUUACAAGGAAACAUGCAAGUGGUGCUUCAAUUAAUUUAACGAAAUUCUGUUCGGCAACCAAAAUGGAACAUGUGUAUACCGAUUGGAUGUGGUGGAUUUUUCAAGGCCUUCCAUUUCAUCACAUUGUAAGAGUUAUGGACUGUUACUUACAUGAAGGUAUUAAAGUAUUAUAUAGAAUUGCCAUGGCUAUACUAAAGCUUUUUCAUAAAAAUUCUAGUAAAAGAAAUUCUCCUUGGGCUUUAGAAGCUCUUAAUAAUGGAUUAGAAGCUACUUUAAUGAAAUUUUGCAGACAAAUUCCUGUUAGUCCUAAUAAAUUGUUAAAAACUGCAUUUAAUAUUCGAGCAUUAAGUGCUGCAUAUUUACAUAGAAUUUUUGUUAAAACUGAAAUGUCAAUGAAGUCAAAAGCUAUUGUAUCAAAUUCACAUCAGUUGAUAAGGUCUCGAUCGAGUGAAAACUUGCCUACCAGUCAGUCCCAAGUAAAUAUUCAGCUCCUGUCACAUACACUUAGUACACGAGAACUUUUCACAUUGUGGUCAUGGUUACCAAUGAGAAUUACUAUGUAUCAACCAAUUUUAUUAUACACUACAGAAGAGCAUGGAUGCAGCUUGACUACAUUUUAUUUUAGAGUCGAACAACACGAACCAACAUUGUUAAUAAUUAAAACUUGUUCUGAUGAUGUGUUUGGUGCUUAUUGCUCAACUAAAUGGCUUGAGAGGAAUAGAAAAGAUGAUAGAGGAAACAGGACAGCAUAUUUUGGAACCGGGGAAACAUUUCUAUUUAGCUUGUUUCCUGAGAGAUCAAAAUAUCCAUGGGUUGGUAUGGAAAAUGAUAAUGUUUGUCAUUCAAAUGAACUUUUUAUGGCUGCUGAUUCUAAAAUGAUAACUAUCGGUGGUGGUGAUGGUCAAGCUAUUUGGAUGGAUGAAAAUAUAAGAUUUGGAAAAUCAGAUAGCUGUUCAACGUUUAAUAAUCCACCACUUUGCCCUGGGAAAGAUUUUGAAAUCAAAGUGUUGGAAGUUUAUGGCUUUGGAGGUGCAAUGCUGUGAAGAGUUGGUGGCCAUGAUUGUAUACUUAACAUUAUUAUAUUCAAGGGAUUAGCGAGGUGGUUAUGGGUGGAGAAAAUGUACUUCAAACAAUAUCCACAUCAAAAUAUGACACAUAUCCAGGAAUUGAAGAUAAUGAAGAAGAAGAAGAAUUGGCAGAAUCACUUGAUAUUCACACUGAAUUUGGAGUUCGACGUCAGCGAUCUCAUACGGCAGUUCAGUUAGAACGUCUGCAAAGAAAUAUGAUGAAAUCUGCUAAUGUGCGUCAUGUAAAAUGGGAAAUAACACCUGUUUCUCUUACAGAUGAAGAAAAGGCUGAACUAUUUCCUAAAAAAGACAUCAGUCACCAAAAAAAGAAUUAUGUUUCUGAAUUAUCUAAGUUAUUGAAAGCUUGCCCAUACCUACCAAUAAAUCCAUUUCGAGAAUAUUCUAAAUAUGACGGAAAUGCCCAGCUAGGUGAAGCCACUCGGAAGUAUAGCAUGUUUAUAACUAUGCUGAAUUUAGAACGCCGUAACUAUCCUAUGCAAGUAUCAAUAAUAGCCACGGCAAAAGUACAUGAUCUAAUUGGAUUGGUAUGCUGGAAAUGUACUAUUGAAUAUCCAGAUUGCA